rnacentral:rRNA from 1 species
GCACAAGCAGUGGAGCAUGUGGUUAAUUCGAUGAUACGCGAGGAACUUACCUGGGCUUAAAUGUAGAGUGCAUUUUUAGAGAUAGAAAUUCCCUUCGGGGCUUUCUGCAAGGUGCUGCAUGGUUGUCGUCAGCUCGUGCCGUGAGGUGUCGGGUUAAGUCCCAUAACGAGCGCAACCCUUAUCGUUAGUUGCCAUCUGGUAAUGCAGGGGACUCUAGCGAAACUGCCACCGUAAGGUGAGAGGAAGGUGGGGAUGACGUCAAAUCAGCACGGCCCUUAUGUCCAGGGCUACACACGUGUUACAAUGGUCGGUACAGAGGGCAGCUACCUGGUGACAGGAUGCUAAUCUCGAAAACCGGUCUCAGUUCGGAUCGAAGUCUGCAACUCGACUUCGUGAAGCUGGAUUCGCUAGUAAUCGCGCAUCAGCUAUGGCGCGGUGAAUACGUUCCCGGGCCUU